UGGUCCUCCACCUGAACCAAUCACCACCCCCAACAGAGAGAGAGAGCAACAGGGCCCCUCUCCUCGCUCCAAACCAAAGAGUGACAAUGGGAGGAACAAGCAGUCUAACCAGUCCAGCCACUCUCCUCCCCAGUAUAAACUCCACAGUUUCAGUCUACUGCACUACGAUAAGGAGAGACUGGAGAGACAGAUUGGUGAUUACAGGAAGAGUAGGCGGGAUCCUCCAUCUGACCUGGUACAGCAACACAAGGAGGUCACACACAGGCUGCAGUGGCAGAAAGCCCAGCUC